rnacentral:rRNA from 1 species
UACGGGGGGGGCAAGCGUUGUUCAGAAUUACUGGGCGUAAAGGGCUCGUAGGCGGCCAACUAAGUCAGACGUGAAAUCCCUCGGCUUAACCGGGGAACUGCAUCUGAUACUGGAUGGCUUGAGUUCGGGAGAGGGAUGCGGAAUUCCAGGUGUAGCGGUGAAAUGCGUAGAUAUCUGGAGGAACACCGGUGGCGAAGGCGGCAUCCUGGACCGACACUGACGCUGAGGAGCGAAAGCCAGGGGAGCAAACGGG